rnacentral:tRNA from 1 species
GGAAAAAUCGUCAAAGGUAAGACAUAAUACAUGCUAGGUAUUUCCUUUCAAGGAUGAAGGGUUCGAAUCCCUUUUUUUCCG